rnacentral:lncRNA from 1 species
AGCUACCCCAGGUCUGUGAUCAUCACUGCCAAGAACUCCUUUGUACCACUUACCUUUACUAUGACUUUAUACUAGUAAGUGAGUCACCACCACUCAUCUUCUCUUGCAGUUUCUAAAGUACAGGAGAUGUAUGCUGACAAACUUUCUCAUUCAUACCUUCCAACUCUCUUGACCAUCUGUUGACACAAUUUGCCAUGAGACAGUGAUGCUCCUUGUGUGGCCCUGGGUUCCCUAAAAUGUUGUCAGUUAUUUAUCUCCUAAGCACUCUCUUUUCAGUGACCUCCUCUCAGCUGGCAACACCCUCCUUUCUAAGGGCCAAGAAGUCUUUCCAAGGAAUGUGAACUGCUGGCCAGAUGGCAUCUAAAGCCAUCUUGGUGGGCCUCCUCCAAGGAAGCCUUCAUUUUGAAUUUGAUGGAGUUGUGAAGUCAAUAGGACCUGGAAAGUGAAUCCUGAGAGAAGCUUGAAGUUUGAAGAUGCUGAAGAUACCAGAACUAACUGAGAAGGAAGUCAAAGAGUGCACGGUACAGUUAUUGAAUCUGAGAAUCCUGUAGCUGUUUGGUCCACACAGCUCGAUGCCUCAGAAAUUUGAAUGUAGCUCUGAAGGCCUGGAGGAUUCCUGUAGAGCCGUGGGCCUUCAGUCUACCUGGAAGCCUGAAGAAACUGAGUUCUGC